UGCAAGUCGAACGAUGAACACUUCGGUGGGGAUUAGUGGCGAACGGGUGAGUAACACGUGGGCAAUCUGCCCUGCACUCUGGGACAAGCCCUGGAAACGGGGUCUAAUACCGGAUAUGAGCCUGGGAGGCAUCUCCCGGGUUGUAAAGCUCCGGCGGUGCAGGAUGAGCCCGCGGCCUAUCAGCUUGUUGGUGAGGUAACGGCUCACCAAGGCGACGACGGGUAGCCGGCCUGAGAGGGCGACCGGCCACACUGGGACUGAGACACGGCCCAGACUCCUACGGGAGGCAGCAGUGGGGAAUAUUGCACAAUGGGCGCAAGCCUGAUGCAGCGACGCCGCGUGAGGGAUGACGGCCUUCGGGUUGUAAACCUCUUUCAGCAGGGAAGAAGCGAGAGUGACGGUACCUGCAGAAGAAGCGCCGGCUAACUACGUGCCAGCAGCCGCGGUAAUACGUAGGGCGCAAGCGUUGUCCGGAAUUAUUGGGCGUAAAGAGCUCGUAGGCGGCUUGUCACGUCGGUUGUGAAAGCCCGGGGCUUAACCCCGGGUCUGCAGUCGAUACGGGCAGGCUAGAGUUCGGUAGGGGAGAUCGGAAUUCCUGGUGUAGCGGUGAAAUGCGCAGAUAUCAGGAGGAACACCGGUGGCGAAGGCGGAUCUCUGGGCCGAUACUGACGCUGAGGAGCGAAA
rnacentral:rRNA from 2 species